rnacentral:rRNA from 1 species
CUUGACGACCAUAGAGCGUUGGAACCACCUGAUCCCAUCCCGAACUCCAGUAGUGAAACGAUGCAUCGCCGAUGGUAGUGUGGGGUUUCCCCAUGUGAGAGUAGGUCAUCGUCAAGC